CUCUAUUUAUAGCUCUUCCACUUUCCUAUCCUCCUCCAUAAGAGAACUAAAUUCUAGCUUCCUUCGUUGAAUUGCAAAAAAGAUAAAAGAAAAAUGGAAGGACAAGCUCGUAGCAGCGGAAAAGAAAAAGAAAAAGUAUGGAUACCUGUAUUUUCUUUGUUUCUUUGUUUCUAACAUGUUACCAACUAACUCUUCUCCUUUCCCUCUUUAAACUCUCAUUUGCAGGAAACAGAGGAAGAAACCCAUGCAGAGGUCCUGGUUGGACAAAGGCAGAGAGUUACUUUAGACAUCAUUCAUGCAGCCAACGCUGUGGACUUAUUUCAGGCAAAUAUGAACAAUUGGCAUGGACCUGUAGUGAUGUUGGAAAGUAACGAGAAAAACUACGACAUCAAGAUCAGUGGCCUGAAAGCAAUGUAUGAAGAUGUUACCUUUGAGCAGUAGCAUUAGAGGGGGAGUAGUAAGGUGUUAGUGACUUUAAGCGGAAGAACAAGUAGUUUUCUGCUCUGUGUAUUGGGGUGUGUGUGUCUAGUCUGUGUUUUUCUUUCCUAAUAACCGUGCUUGUGUCAGUAUAUAUGUAUGUAUGUAUGUAUGUUUCAUACAUGAGACUGAUUGUGCGUGUGUGUUCUUUUUUUUUUCUCCUCGAUUAUAUGCACGCAUUUAAUAACUUAAUUCCUGUUAUCUUUAUGAUUUAGUAAGGCACUGUGCAUUAAUUAAUUGAAUUAUAUGCUUUAGUUCCUGCUAUGUUUUGCAAACAAGAUCCAAAAGGCAUGGAGUAGACAGUGGAAAACGAAAUCAGAACUUGACUCGUUUAAUUAAUGCAUAGUGCCUUACUAAAUCAUAAAGAUAACGGGAAUUAAGUUAUUAAACGCGCGCAUACAGUCGAGGAGAAAAAAAAUCACACACGCACAAUCAGUCUCAUGCAUGAAACAUACAUACAUACAUGCUGACACAAGCACGAUUAUUAGGAAAGAAAAACACAGACUAGACAUACACACCCAACACACACAGAGCAACAAACUACUUGUUCUUCUGCUUAAAGUCAAUAACACCUUACUACUCCCCCUCUAAUGCUACUACUCAAAGGUAACAUCUUCAUGCUUUGCUUUUAGGCCACUGAUCUUAAUGUCGUAGUUUUUUCUCGUUACUUUCCAACACCACUACAAUUCCACGCCAGUUGUUCUAAUUUGCUAGAAAUAAGUCCACGACAUUAGCUGCAUGAAUGCUGUCUAUAAUAAUUCUCUGCCUUUUGUCCAAUCACUACCUCUGCAUGGGUUUCUUCCUCCAUUUCCUGCAAAUGAGAGUUUAAAGAGGGAAAGGAGAAGAGUUAGUUGGUAACAUGUUAGAAACAAAGAAACAAAGAAAAUACAGCUAUCCAUACUUUUCCUUUUCCGCUGCUGCUAGCUUGUCCUUCCAUUUUUCUUUUAUCUUUUUUGCAAUUCAACGAAGGAAGCUAGAAUUUAGUUCUCUUAUGGAGGAUAGGGAAGUGGAAGAGCUAUAAAUAGAGGGAUCAGGGAAUUGCAAACAAAACAAAAGAUGGCAACAACGGAAAAGGAAAAGGAAAAGCUAAGGCAAAAAUGGACGAUUACUUGGCAGAGGAGACCAACAUGGACUCUGUACUUUUUCUCGAGCACAAGAGUCUUGACUUAGUUGUAGAGAAACAAAAGAGCAUGCUGGAACAAGCUGAGGGCGCUGAAACAAAGAAAGCAAAAGAGGUGGCAGAUCACAGAUACCAUCGUACUGUUGUGGCAUGCAUGCAGUAGACAACCAGAAUGUUUUUGUUGAGCAUAAGCCAGAUUGGAGUGGCACAAUAGAUGUCAAGUCUAGCAACGAGGAGAAGGGUUACUACAAGAGGGUUGGGAAGCUUGAGAAGGAGCAUAAAUGUGUUAUUGACUUUAAGCGGAAGAACAAGUAGUGUUUUGCUCUCCCUGUGUGUGUCUAGUCUGUGUUUUUCUUUCCUAAUAAUCGUGCUUGUGUCAGUAUGUAUGUACAUAUAUUUCAUGCAUGAGACUGAUUGUGCGUGUGUUUUUUUUUCCUUCUCGAUUGUAUGCGCGCGUUUAAUAACUUAAUCUUUAUGAUUUAGUAA